AGUGAACGCUGGCGGUAGGCCUAACACAUGCAAGUCGAACGGCAGCACAGUAAGAGCUUGCUCUUACGGGUGGCGAGUGGCGGACGGGUGAGGAAUACAUCGGAAUCUACUUUUUCGUGGGGGAUAACGUAGGGAAACUUACGCUAAUACCGCAUACGACCUACGGGUGAAAGCAGGGGAUCUUCGGACCUUGCGCGAUUGAAUGAGCCGAUGUCGGAUUAGCUAGUUGGCGGGGUAAAGGCCCACCAAGGCGACGAUCCGUGGCUGGUCUGAGAGGAUGAUCAGCCACACUGGAACGGAGACACGGUCCAGACUCCUACGGGAGGCAGCAGUGGGGAAUAUUGGACAAUGGGCGCAAGCCUGAUCCAGCCAUACCGCGUGGGUGAAGAAGGCCUUCGGGUUGUAAAGCCCUUUUGUUGGGAAAGAAAAGCAGCAGGUUAAUACCCCGCUGUUCUGACGGUACCCAAAGAAUAAGCACCGGCUAACUUCGUG
rnacentral:rRNA from 1 species